GACGAACGCUGGCGGCGUGCUUAACACAUGCAAGUCGAACGGAAAGUCCCUGCUUGCAGGGUACUCGAGUGGCGAACGGGUUAGUAACACGUGGGUUAUCUGCCCUGCACUUCGGGAUAAGCCUGGGAAACUGGGUCUAAUACCGGAUAGGAUCCAUUUUUAGUUUGAUGGUUGGAAAGUUUUUUCGGUGUAGGAUGAGCUCGCGGCCUAUCAGCUUGUUGGUGGGGUAAUGGCCUACCAAGGCGGCGACGGGUAGCCGGCCUGAGAGGGUGGACGGCCACAAUGGGACUGAGAUACGGCCCAGACUCCUACGGGAGGCAGCAGUGGGGAAUAUUGCACAAUGGGCGCAAGCCUGAUGCAGCGACGCCGCGUGGGGGAUGACGGCCUUCGGGUUGUAAACUCCUUUCGCUAGGGACGAAGCUUUUUGUGACGGUACCUAGAUAAGAAGCACCGGCUAACUACGUG
rnacentral:rRNA from 1 species